rnacentral:rRNA from 1 species
GCUGUCUUCCUUGGGGGAUUCAGACUCAAGAACUUCGCAACUCUGCCUGCUGUGGGCACGAGGGGCGGCAUCAUUUUUCUUUGGAACGGAGAUAGCAUCGAAGCUUCGGACAUCACCGUUGGAGAGUUCCAUCUAUCCGCGACGAUCAGGCUGGUCCACACUGAGGUCUCCUUCAAGCUGACAACUGUCUAUGGGCCAACGAAUAGCAGCCGUAAGGAUGAUUUCUUCGCGGAAAUUGUGGCGCAGAAGCCGGCAGCGGGGCACCUGUGGCUGGUGAACGGGGAUUUCAACCAGAUUUAUAGAGCGAAGGAUAAGAACAAGCGGAACGCUAACAUCUCGCGCAUAAACCAUUUCCGCAGCACCUUGGACGCUUGUGAGCUAAAAGAGAUCCAUCUUCAGAACCGCAAGUUCACAUGGAGCAACGAGCGCAUUGACCCCACCCUCUGUAAGUUAGAUAGUUUUUUCUGCAACCCUGAGUGGGACCUCCAUUUUGGUUCUCAUGUGCUUUCUGCCAUGACCACCUCACUCUCUGACCACUGCCCAUUGUUCCUGUCCAGCGAUUGUGGCCCUAAGCGCCCCCGCAAAUUCAAGUUCGAGAACUUCUGGGUCAAGCUUCCGGGGUUCAGGCAGGUGGUCGCUAAGACUUGGGCCUAGCCUACCGCGCACUCGGAGCCAUGCCGGAUCUUUGCUGAGAAACUUCGGCGCACCGGGGUAGCCCUCCGGCAUUGGAGCAACGGUUUCUUCUCAGAUGCAAAGCUGCAGCUCACCAUGGCCCAGGAGAUCAUUCUCAGGUUGGACAUGGCCAUGGACUUUCGGCCACUUUCUCCGGAGGAGAGGGAGUUG